rnacentral:rRNA from 1 species
GACGGGGGGGGCAAGUGUUCUUCGGAAUGACUGGGCGUAAAGGGCACGUAGGCGGUGAAUCGGGUUGAAAGUGAAAGUCGCCAAAAAGUGGCGGAAUGCUCUCGAAACCAAUUCACUUGAGUGAGACAGAGGAGAGUGGAAUUUCGGUGUGUAGGGGUGAAAUCCGAUAAAUAUACGAAGGAACGCCAAAAGCGAAGGCAGCUCGUCUGGGUCCCUACCGACGCUGGG